UACGUAGGGUGCAAGCGUUGUCCGGAAUUAUUGGGCGUAAAGAGCUCGUAGGCGGUUUGUCGCGUCUGCCGUGAAAGUCCGGGGCUCAACUCCGGAUCUGCGGUGGGUACGGGCAGACUAGAGUGAUGUAGGGGAGACUGGAAUUCCUGGUGUAGCAGUGAAAUGCGUAGAUAUCAGGAGGAAUACCGAUGGCGAAGGCAGGUCUCUGGGCUAUAACUGACGCUCAUGCACGAAAGCGUGGGGAGCAAACAGG
rnacentral:rRNA from 1 species